AUUGAACGCUGGCGGCAGGCUUAACACAUGCAAGUCGAGCGGGGUGAUGGUGCUUGCACUAUCACUUAGCGGCGGACGGGUGAGUAAUGUUUAGGAAUCUGCCUAUUAGUGGGGGACAACAUCUCGAAAGGGAUGCUAAUACCGCAUACGUCCUACGGGAGAAAGCAGGGGAUCACUUGUGACCUUGCGCUAGUAGGUGAGCCAAGGUCGGAUUAGCUAGUUGGUGGGGUAAAGGCCUACCAAGGCGACGAUCUGUAGCGGGUCUGAGAGGAUGAUCCGCCACACUGGGACUGAGACACGGCCCAGACUCCUACGGGAGGCAGCAGUGGGGAAUAUUGGACAAUGGGGGGAACCCUGAUCCAGCCAUGCCGCGUGUGUGAAGAAGGCCUUAUGGUUGUAAAGCACUUUAAGCGAGGAGGAGGCUCUUUUGGUUAAUACCCAAGAUGAGUGGACGUUACUCGCAGAAUAAGCACCGGCUAACUCUGUGCCAGCCGCCGCCGUAA
rnacentral:rRNA from 1 species